rnacentral:rRNA from 1 species
CUACGGGGUGCUGCAGUGAGGAAUAUUGCACAAUGGGGGGAACUCUGAUGCAGCAACGCCGCGUGGAGGAUGACGCAUUUCGGUGUGUAAACUCCUUUUAUAUGUCAAGAAAAUGACGGUAGCAUAUGAAUAAGCACCGGCUAACUCCGUGCCAGCAGCCGCGGUAAUACGGAGGGUGCAAGCGUUACUCGGAAUCACUGGGCGUAAAGGACGCGUAGGCGGGUUGGAAAGUCAGGUGUGAAAUCCUACAGCUUAACUGUAGAACUGCACUUGAAACUUCUAAUCUAGAGUAUGGGAGGGGAGAUGGAAUUAGUGUAGUAGGGGUAAAAUCCGUAGAUAUCACUAGGAAUACCUAAAGCGAAGGCGAUCUCCUGGAACAUUACUGACGCUAAGGCGUGAAAGCGUGGGGAGCAAACAGGAUUAGAUACCCCUGUAGUC